AACACUUUGUGUGGGACAGAUAAGGGAAUAGGCAAAUGAAGUUUACUCCCAGAAGCCAAAGCAGGGAACCCAACAGCAGGGAUUCCAACAAGAGCACAGCAGACUCCUGCCUUGACAUCAUGGGAAUAUUAUUACCACUACCCUUUUGCAAACAAUACCGCAGAGACUGGUUUUCGGCAACGAAGCAUUCAAGCAUCCGUCCUAGUCUCAAACAUUCUCUCUCGAGAUAC
rnacentral:lncRNA from 1 species